rnacentral:rRNA from 1 species
AUCAAAAACAUUGCUUUAUGGUUUAAGUAUAUAAGGUUUGUUCUGCCCGGUGACUUAUAGAGUUUAACGGCCGCGGUAUCCUGACUGUGCUAAGGUAGCGUGAUAAUUUGCCCUUUAAUUGUGGGCUUGUAUGAAUGGAUUAAUGAGAAUUAAGCUGUUUCUAAAUUAUAAGUAGAAAUUAAUAUUAAGGUGAAAAAGCCUUAAUACUUAUAUAAGACAAAAAGACCCCAUAGAGCUUAAUUUAUAAAUAUUAAGUAGAGAAAUAAGUGUUUAUAUUAUUUAUUUAAUUUUUUAUGGAAUUAACUGGGGCGGUUGAUGAAGAAUAUAAUCUUCUUUUUAUAGUAAAGAUUAAUAAAUUUAUGUUUAUAGUAGAUCCUUUUAAAGAUUAUAGGAAGAAGCUACCUUGGGGGUAACAGACUAAUUUUUUUUGAGAGUUCUUAUUGACAAAAAAGUUUGGCACAUCGAUGUUGGCUUAGGAUAUCCUAAAGAUAGUAGCAGUCUUUUAUGGUAGGUUUGUUCAACCUUUAAAAUCCUACGUGAUCUGAGUUCA